rnacentral:piRNA from 1 species
UGUGCUCAGGCAGUUCAGGGAAUAAGUAA